rnacentral:rRNA from 1 species
UACGUAGGGUGCAAGCGUUAAUCGGAAUUACUGGGCGUAAGGCGUGCGCAGGCGGUGAUGUAAGACAGAUGUGAAAUCCCCGGGCUCAACCUGGGAACUGCAUUUGUGACUGCAUCGCUGGAGUACGGCAGAGGGGGAUGGAAUUCCGCGUGUAGCAGUGAAAUGCGUAGAUAUGCGGAGGAACACCGAUGGCGAAGGCAAUCCCCUGGGCCUGUACUGACGCUCAUGCACGAAAGCUAGGGGAGCGAACUGG